rnacentral:rRNA from 1 species
UACGGAGGGUGCAAGCGUUAAUCGGAAUUACUGGGCGUAAAGCGUGCGCAGGCGGUUUGUUAAGUCCGUUGUGAAAGCCCCGAGCUCAACUUGGGAAUUGCAGUGGAUACUGGCAGGCUGGAGUACGGUAGAGGAAGGUGGAAUUCCUGGUGUAGCGGUGGAAUGCGCAGAUAUCAGGAGGAACACCGAUGGCGAAGGCAGAUCUCUGGGCCGUAACUGACGCUGAGGAGCGAAAGCGUGGGGAGCGAACAGG